CACGUAGGGUGCGAGCGUUGUCCGGAAUUAUUGGGCGUAAAGAGCUCGUAGGCGGUGUGUCGCGUCGGCUGUGAAAACCCGAGGCUCAACCUCGGGCCUGCAGUCGAUACGGGCAAACUAGAGUACUGCAGGGGAGACUGGAAUUCCUGGUGUAGCGGUGAAAUGCGCAGAUAUCAGGAGGAACACCGGUGGCGAAGGCGGGUCUCUGGGCAGUAACUGACGCUGAGGAGCGAAAGCGUGGGGAGCGAACAGG
rnacentral:rRNA from 1 species